GACGAACGCUGGCGGCGUGCCUAAUACAUGCAAGUCGAACGCUUCUUUCCUCCCGAGUGCUUGCACUCAAUUGGAAAGAGGAGUGGCGGACGGGUGAGUAACACGUGGGUAACCUACCCAUCAGAGGGGGAUAACACUUGGAAACAGGUGCUAAUACCGCAUAACAGUUUAUGCCGCAUGGCAUAAGAGUGAAAGGCGCUUUCGGGUGUCGCUGACGGAUGGAUCCGCGGUGCAUUAGCUAGUUGGUGAGGUAACGGCUCACCAAGGCCACGAUGCAUAGCCGACCUGAGAGGGUGAUCGGCCACACUGGGACUGAGACACGGCCCAGACUCCUGCGGGAGGCAGCAGUAGGGAAUCUUCGGCAAUGGACGAAAGUCUGACCGAGCAACGCCGCGUGAGUGAAGAAGGUUUUCGGAUCGUAAAACUCUGUUGUUAGAGAAGAACAAGGACGUUAGUAACUGAACGUCCCCUGACGGUAUCUAACCAGAAAGCCACGGCUAACUACGUG
rnacentral:rRNA from 1 species